ACUACUAUGGUGUAGCGGUAACAUUCAACCCUUCCAAGGUUGAGCUCAGGGUUCGUCUCCCUGUGGUAGUA
rnacentral:tRNA from 1 species